UGUCCCCAUACGAGAUUCUAUUUGGGACUGCACCUAGGCUAGGUUGCUAUUUUCCCCAACAACUACAACUUCAAACUGAUGUUUUAGUAGAUUAUGUAACUGAACUUGCCAAUGCUUUGAACAAAAUCCAUGCCCAAGUUUUCUCUUCAAUUCCAGAUCCUGAUUCUGACACAGGCAACCACAGUCUGCUCCCCGGUGACUGGGUUCUGGUCAAGAAAUUUGUGCGAAAGCACACCCUGGAACCAAGAUUUGACGGACCGUUCCAAGUUCUCCUGAUCUCCCCUACCUCUGUCAAAUUGACCGGAAGGCCUAACUGGAUCCACGCUUCCCACUGCAAGAAGACACCUGCCCCAGAGGAAGC